CCACAUCUGCUAUGUAUUUUCUUAGCUCGACUCUCUAACCGUACUAUUACCAAUGCUAACGAAUUGGUAGUUUUCAUUUUGGCCCUUCUUUCAUCAUCGCGAUUUUUGUUUACGGCCAGGAAGUUUUACAACGUAGCCCCUGUAUUAGCGUGGCACUCCGUUUCCCUCCUCUCCGCCUGAGCCGCCGCCACCUUCUCCCCAACCAUGGAGUCCAUGAGUUGGGCAAGCGAGAGCAUCCGGCGAAGCGAGAGGACGGCGCCGCGGCGAUCGAGGAGCGGAAACCUCGAGGUGAGAUUCUACAAAGGUCUAGUUAGAAGGAAGGAUUGCGUAGAGUAGCCGCUUCAUGUCAGAUUUGGGAUGUGGCGCGGCAUGAGUUUUUUUUGUCUGCAACGAUUUAUGACAUUUUCUCAAUUCAGUAUUGCUGUUUCACUAGUUGCAGAUUGUGAUCCCCUCACAGCAAAUUGCAGAGAUAGUUGUUGGAAUAUAGCCACAAAUUAAUACAAGAACGUUUACAUUCAUGUGUAAUAUUGUCAAGAUUUAUGUACUGGCAGGUUUCAGUUUACUUCAGUUCCUUCUGAUUUUCUA